ACAACCUGCUUUCAAAUCUUUUCCCUUUUGAGGCUGACCUAUUGCAGAAAGAUAUUUUAUGUGCAGAAGAUUUUCAAACAAAGCAUUUGAAGUUGCUUUGCUGGAGACUGAAGAGUGACAGGACAUGAGCCCUGGUUCCACUUAAGCCUGGAGCCUAAAGUGUCUGAAUAUUACAAUUGUAAGCAUAUAAAUGGAUAAGUGCAGGUACUAAAUUCACGGGCUGUUACAGGGACAGGAGAGCACACCAGAGAUGGGGUAAUGGGCAAUGUUAAAUGUUGGCCUUGAUGCAGCUUUCCCCUCACAUGAGAUAUUGCACCAUGGUCAGUGCAGCCUAACACAUUUUGACCAUCUGGUGGCAUCAGAGAUGGCCUUCCCUGCCAAAGAAGAGGAGGCACAUGGUGGGAGAGACUUCAUUUGCCUGACCACAGUUCUGGAAUUAAAAUU